GUGUCAGCCGCCGCGGUAAUACGUAGGUGGCAAGCGUUAUCCGGAAUUAUUGGGCGUAAAGCGCGCGCAGGUGGUUUCUUAAGUCUGAUGUGAAAGCCCACGGCUCAACCGUGGAGGGUCAUUGGAAACUGGGAGACUUGAGUGCAGAAGAGGAAAGUGGAAUUCCAUGUGUAGCGGUGAAAUGCGUAGAGAUAUGGAGGAACACCAGUGGCGAAGGCGACUUUCUGGUCUGUAACUGACACUGAGGCACGAAAGCGUGGGGAGCAAACAGGAUUAGAUACCCUAGUAGUCC
rnacentral:rRNA from 1 species